UUUAUACAUAAACAGUAUUUAUAUGGAUUCUUUACUUGUUUAUACAUAUAAAUGCGAUUGUUAAUUAUUCAUUUAUAUCAUAUGUAAAAGUAAUAAAAAAUUGGAAGAAACUAAAUGCAUGUAAUAACAAGAAAUUGCAAAGUAUGUUCGUAAAUAUAUUUUUACAUAUGUAUCUAUCUUACAUUGAUAUAUCUAUAAACGUUUUUAUAACACGCACACCUAUUUCUCAGGUUCCGUUGGAUACGUUUGGGUAUCAAAAAUCGAUACGAACAUCAACUAUAGGUUCGUAAUGAUUUUUUAUUCCCAAACGUGUGUUGCCUCUACUUCAUCAAAUAUUGGUUCGAUAUCGAUUUAUGUUACUCUUUUCUACGCCAAAGUAUAAACGUUUUUAUAAACUGUUUUGGUGAAAAUUAAAUUAAAACGUUUUUUAUUUUGUAUGUAUAUUUCAUACGUUUUUUUAUUUCUUAUAGAUUUUAGUACCGAGGAAUUUUAAAGUUAUAACUUAUAACGCAAUGUUAAUACUGUAAAAUUCUUCGGCAUUGAAAUCUAGAAUUGCAACGUUGGAAAAUGUAUCUGAAACUCAAGGCCAAGCCAUAUAUGAAUUCGUUCAAACGAGAUCAAUACCGGCUUAUAUGAGGUAGUUAUUGCUGUGAGAUCACUAUAGAGAAGGCGAAGCUUGGUCCAAAAGAAGCAAUUUGUUUGCUGAAGCCAAAUUUAUCGAUGAAAGCUGCCGCACGGCGUUUGAGAUUUUUGAAAGCAUGUUGCAGAUUGCCGGCGACUUAUGUGGAGUUAAUUUUUUGGAUGAACUGGAUGUAAAUUUUCGGCGGUAUCAAGAUGCUCACUCGGCAAAUCUCACACAUCUGGGCAGAGUAUAUAGUUACAGAAUCAAAUAAACAAUAAGGAGAGAGAUUUCACCAAGCAGCCAAGCCUAUGGAUGAGAUACGAUAAAGGAAAGAAACUGGAUUCUAUUCUGGC